UCUGGUUGAUCCUGCCAGUAAUAUAUGCUUGUCUCAAAGAUUAAUCCAUGCAUGUCUAAGUAUAAAUAGUAUACCUUAAAACUGCAAAUGGCUCAUUAAAACAGUUAUAGUUUAUUUGAUAAUCAAACGCUACAUGGAUAACCGUGGUAAUUCUAGAGCUAAUACAUGCUGAUAACCCGACGCAAGUCGUGUUGUAUUUAUUAGAUAUUAAACCAAUAUGUUAAUAGCAUUUUGAAGGAAUUACAGUAACUGAUCGAAUCCUACUUUUAGUGGGAUAAAUCAUUCAAGUUUCUGCCCUAUCAGCUUUCGAUGGUAGUGUAUUGGACUACCAUGGCGAUUACGGGUAACGGAGAAUUAGUGUUCGAUUCCGGAGAGGGAGCCUGAGAAACGGCUACCACAUCUAAGGAAGGCAGCAGGAGCGUAAAUUACCCAAUGUCGACUCGAUGAGCGUAGUGACAAUACAUAACAAAGAGGGGAUCUUGUAUCUUACUCUAUUGCAAUGAGGCAUGUUUAAUAACCUGUUCGAGCAACCAGUGAAGGGCAAGUCUGGUGCCAGCAGCCGCGGUAAUUCCAGCUUCACGAGUGUAUAUUUAAGUUGUUGCAGUUAAAAAGCUCGUAGUUGAACUUCUGUUCGUUCAGAAGGCGUGCAAGCGAAUUCUGGAUGAGCAUCCGCCUGAAAAAUCAUUGGGGUCUUCACUGAUUCAGUGAUGGAUCAGGCAUUUUACUUUGAAAAAAUUAGAGUGUUCAAAGCAGGCUUUCGCCUGAAUACAUUAGCAUGGAAUAAUAGAAUAGGACGCUGUUCAAUUUGUUGGUUAUUGAAUCGCGUAAUGAUUAAUAGGGACAGUUGGGGGCAUUUGUAUUUAAUUGUCAGAGGUGAAAUUCUUGGAUUUAUUAAAGACAAACUUAUGCGAAAGCAUUUGCCAAGGAUGUUUUCAUUAAUCAAGAACGAAAGUUAGAGGAUCAAAGACGAUCAGAUGCCGUCCUAGUUUUAACUAUAAACUAUGCCGACUCGGUCUCCGUCGAGCCUUCCUAACUCGAUGGGUGCCGUAUGAGAAAUCAAAGUCUUUGGGUUCCGGGGGGAGUAUGGUCGCAAGGUUGAAACUUAAAGGAAUAGACGGAACAUCACUACCAGGUGUGGAUCCUGCGGCUUAAUUUGACUCAACACGGGAAAACUUACCAGCGCAAAACAAGGGUGGGAUUGACAGAUUGAGAGCUCUUUCUUGAUUCUUUGGAUAGUGGUGCAUGGCCGUUCUUAGUUGGUGGAGUGCUUUGUCUGCC
rnacentral:rRNA from 1 species